GUGAAUUGAAUAUGUUAGCGGACCUCUUCGGAGUCCCUAGCAUCAAAUCAUAUCCAUAACACCUGUGAACUGUAAGGCUGUCUUGGAAACGAAAGUGAUUAGAGCGCCUGCCCAUUUUAUACAAACAUUAAAGUAACAAACGUAGUCUUAUUAUAAUCUAAUA
rnacentral:misc_RNA from 1 species